ensembl:lncRNA
CACCAUGUUGUGAUUUUUUCUGAGGACCUCAAGCUGAUGAUUUGCGUUUUGGCUUGGUUUGGCUUGGUUUAGUUUGUUUUUUGUCCUUGAGAUGUCAAAGAUUCUGUUCCAGUUUCUCUUGAAAUCAUAAAGGAACCUCCCAUCUCUAUGUUUCAGAUCUGCUUGAGGCUUUAUUGACAGAAUGAAUAGUUUUGGCAUAACCAGGCAUGGACUUAAACCAGCACUGCCAGAUGCAAUCAAACUUCUCAGCAAGCAUGAUUUUCCCUACCUGAAGACUAAAUCAGUGCUGUGUGAAUCUGUUAUCUUCCAUCUCACUGCUCAAAACCGGAUCUGGGCUGACAGCAGGAACACUGAGACAGCUUGCAAUCACCAUGGAUGUCUCUGGAGCCUUCCAGCUUGUCAAGCUCAGCACACUGCUCUGUGCUUGAAAGCAUAUGGUCAACAAAACAAAGAGCUUGCACCUGGAAUUUGAAUGUGGCACAAACUGAACGGCUUUAAAAAAUCAAGGAUUAUCACAGAAGGUGUGAUGGAACAUCUCUCGUGAAAAGCUGGGAUAAAAUACAGCAGCAGAGACUUUUUCUGCAGGUUGCUGAGAGGCUCACAAACUCACUCCCCUGGUGAUUUCAUUUGCAUUUGUGCUUGCAGUUGAUGCAUGAGUGAGGAAAAGUGAGAGCAAUACUUUAGUCAGGAUGCAGGAUGAAAGAGCAGAUUGGGGAUGGGAGAGCUCUCACAACCUCCCAAACCUGUGGUACCUGGGGUGUAAUGUAGGAGAAAAUUCCUGCACAGAUCCCUCCAGAAGAGCUGCUCAAGGCCUGUGACAGAUUAGUGAUGCAGAUUUUGGCUUUCCAAGGGUGAGAGGAUGUCUCAGAAGAUGUUGGCAAACAUGGAUCAGGUAGGUUUAAAAAGGCUCAGGACAGCUUCAGGGGGUGGGAAUGGGAGGAAAAGGCUCUUCUUCAUCACUAGGCAAAGGAUGAGGACAUGCUAGUAUUCCCAGGAGUUAUUUUUCCAAGGACAAUUUGCCCUCAGGCACUUUUGUUUUGUUAAUAAGGAUGUGGCCAAGCUAAGCAAUUUUCUCUAAGUCAUUGUGUGCAUUUCUUUCUCAAACCAUGUCCAUGGCAAAUUAUGUAUAAUUGGUCUGUAAGGCUCUCUGUGUCCUGCCUAAUCUGCUGUUUACUGAUAUGGCCUUUAUCAACAGUGACAGUUCUUUUGGUGAUGAUUUUGUCACCUCUAACAGAAUGUAAGCAGUGAUUAUGUAAACAGCUUACACUCCUAUCCAUUGUGUUCCAGCACUUUGAUUUCUUAUCUCUUUAAGGGUGAGGGCUGUGUAUGGAGAGUGGUAGCACUCACUGCAGUUCCCUGGGGAUGGAUGAAAGCACAGCCCUGCCUUGGGGAUGGGCCAGCCCUGCCGUGCUCUGCAGGGCUGCACGUAGGGCUGGGGCUGUGGGUGGCACUUGGGGCACACUGUCACACUGAUCAGUCCCUCCUUCGGAGCACAGGUCUGUGCCAGACGUUGGCAGGCUAGGGAGCCUCUCUGAUAGGACAAGAAGCAGGUCCCAAAUAAAAAUACACCCUCAUCCA